CGGCGCUGCUCCUCCGCUGCCGCCGGGAGAGUCGGCGACGCCGCCAGCUCCGCGCGC
rnacentral:miRNA from 1 species